rnacentral:rRNA from 1 species
GUGACUCUUUUAAACGGCCGCGGUAUCCUAACCGUGCAAAGGUAGCAUAAUCACUUGUCCCCUAAAUAGGGACUGGAAUGAAUGGCUAAAUGAGGACAAAACUGUCUCUCACGGAUUAACCAAUGAAAUUGAUUUUCCAGUACAAAAGCUGGAAUGAACACAUAAGACGAGAAGACCCUGUGGAGCUUCAAAACCAAAAUCACUAAACAUGCUUCUUGGUUUUUUAGUUGGGGCGACUUUGGAGCAAAAAAAACCCUCCAAAACACUAAAACUUUAUUAAGACUAACACAUCAAAAAUAACUUUAUAGACCCAGCAGUACCCAGUACUAUCUGAUUAAUGAACCAAGUUACCCCAGGGAUAACAGCGCCAUCCUCUUCUAGAGUCCUUAUCGACAAGAGGGUUUACGACCUCGAUGUUGGAUCAGGACACCCCUAUAGUGCAGUCGCUAUAAAAGGUUCGUUUGUUCAACGAUUAAAGUCCUACGUGAUCU